rfam:Lysinibacillus massiliensis 4400831 = CIP 108448 = CCTG 49529 contig18, whole genome shotgun sequence.
UUUAACUUUACAACGGAGGAUAGGAAUGAAGAAACCAUGUUUUCUGAAACUAUCCCGUCAAUACUCCUGCAUGCGUUAUGACUGACAGGCUAUAGGGUUUGAAGUACAGGUGGAUUCGGCAGAACGAAGGCUUUAGCCACUCCUUUAGAGAAGGUAUGCCAACGGAUAUGCCGCACGUCAUAGCA